rnacentral:rRNA from 1 species
UACAGGGGGUGCAAACGUUGCUCGGAAUCAUUGGGCGUAAAGCGCACGUAGGCGGUUCGUUAUGUCGGAUGUGAAAGCCCUUGGCUUAACCGAGGAAGUGCAUCCGAAACUGGCGAGCUAGAGUACGAAAGAGGAUCGCGGAAUUCCCGGUGUAGAGGUGAAAUUCGUAGAUAUCGGGAGGAACACCGGUGGCGAAGGCGGCGAUCUGGGUCGAUACUGACGCUGAGGUGCGAAAGCGAUGGGGAGCAAACAGGG